UCUUUUCCUUUUUUUCCAGCAGCCGCGGUAAUACGGAAGGUCCGGGCGUUAUCCGGAUUUAUUGGGUUUAAAGGGAGCGUAGGCCGGAGAUUAAGCGUGUUGUGAAAUGUAGAUGCUCAACAUCUGAACUGCAGCGCGAACUGGUUUCCUUGAGUACGCACAAAGUGGGCGGAAUUCGUGGUGUAGCGGUGAAAUGCUUAGAUAUCACGAAGAACUCCGAUUGCGAAGGCAGCUCACUGGAGCGCAACUGACGCUGAAGCUCGAAAGUGCGGGUAUCGAACAGG
rnacentral:rRNA from 1 species